CAAAGGCAUGGUCCCGACCUUACUAUCAGCUCUAACCCAACUUACACAUGCAAGUCUCCGAGCCCCGUGAGUAAGCCCCUUAAUCCCCUACCCGGGGACGAGGAGCAGGUAUCAGGCACAAAUUUUUAGCCCAAGACGCCAGGCCCAGCCACACCCCCAAGGGAAUUCAGCAGUGAUAAAUAUUAAGCCAUAAGUGAAAACUUGACUCAGUCAGGGUUAAGAGGGCCGGUAAAACUCGUGCCAGCCGCCGCGGUUAAACGAGAGGCCCUAGUUAAUAGUACAACGGCGUAAAGGGUGGUUAAGGAUUGUGAAAUAAUAAAGUCGAAUGGCCCUUUGGCUGUCAUACGCUUCUAGGAGUCCGAAGCCCAAUAUACGAAAGUAACUUUAGAAAAGACCACCUGACCCCACGAAAACUGAGAAACAAACUGGGAUUAGAUACCCCACUAUGCUCAGUUAUAAACCCAGACGUCCAACUACAAUUAGACGUCCGCCCGGGUACUACGAGCAUCAGCUUGAAACCCAAAGGACCUGACGGUGCCUCAGACCCCCCUAGAGGAGCCUGUUCUAGAACCGAUAACCCCCGUUAAACCUCACCGCUUCUAGCUAUUCCAGCCUAUAUACCACCGUCGUCAGCUUACCCU
rnacentral:rRNA from 1 species